GUCGAGCGAAAUAAUUGAGAGCUUGCUUUUGAUUAUUUUAGCGGCGGACGGGUGAGUAACGUGUGGGUAACCCGCCUUUUACUGUGGAAUAAUCGUUGGAAACGACGACUAAUACCGCAUACGGUUCUUGGAAGGCAUCUUCUAAGAAAGAAAGGAUUUAUUCGGUAAAAGAUGGGCCCGCAUCUGAUUAGCUAGUUGGUGAGAUAAUAGCCCACCAAGGCAACGAUCAGUAGCCGACCUGAGAGGGUGACCGGCCACAUUGGGACUGAGACACGGCCCAAACUCCUACGGGAGGCAGCAGUGGGGAAUAUUGCACAAUGGGCGAAAGCCUGAUGCAGCAACGCCGCGUGAAGGAAGACGGUUUUCGGAUUGUAAACUUCUAUCAAUAGGGAAGAAAGAAAUGACGGUACCUAAAUAAGAAGCCCCGGCUAACUACGUGCCAGCAGCCGCGGUAAUACGUAGGGGGCAAGCGUUAUCCGGAAUUACUGGGUGUAAAGGGAGAGUAGGCGGCAAGGUAAGCGAUAUGUGAAAGCCUUAGGCUUAACCAAAGGAUUGCAUAACGAACUAUCUAGCUAGAGUACAGGAGAGGAAAGCGGAAUUCCUAGUGUAGCGGUGAAAUGCGUAGAUAUUAGGAAGAACACCAGUGGCGAAGGCGGCUUUCUGGACUGAAACUGACGCUGAGGCUCGAAAGCGGGGGGAGCGAACAGGAUUA
rnacentral:rRNA from 1 species